rnacentral:rRNA from 1 species
UGGGGAAUUUUGGACAAUGGGCGAAAGCCUGAUCCAGCAAUGCCGCGUGUGUGAAGAAGGCCUUCGGGUUGUAAAGCACUUUUGUCCGGAAAGAAAUCCUUGGCUCUAAUACAGUCGGGGGAUGACGGUACCGGAAGAAUAAGCACCGGCUAACUACGUGCCAGCAGCCGCGGUAAUACGUAGGGUGCAAGCGUUAAUCGGAAUUACUGGGCGUAAAGCGUGCGCAGGCGGUUUGCUAAGACCGAUGUGAAAUCCCCGGGCUCAACCUGGGAACUGCAUUGGUGACUGGCAGGCUAGAGUAUGGCAGAGGGGGGUAGAAUUCCACGUGUAGCAGUGAAAUGCGUAGAGAUGUGGAGGAAUACCGAUGGCGAAGGCAGCCCCCUGGGCCAAUACUGACGCUCAUGCACGAAAGCGUGGGGAGCAAACAGGAUUAGAUACCCUGGUAGUCCACGCCCUAAACGAUGUCAACUAGUUGUUGGGGAUUCAUUUCCUUAGUAACGUAGCUAACGCGUGAAGUUGACCGCCUGGGGAGUACGGUCGCAAGAUUAAAACUCAAAUGAAUUGACA